rnacentral:rRNA from 1 species
AUGAAAAUGACAAUGUCACGAGUGCAAAAAAGAGCAAUGGAAAGUUUGCUGGUGGUUGUCUCACUAGGAGUCCUCCUCCAGCUCGCCGGCUGCAGCCCUCCGCCGGACCCGGUGAUGUGCACGCAUGGCACGUCCAACUGCACGAUCACCAACACGUACGGCUCCUUCACGGACCGCACCAUCUGCCGCGCGGCCAAGGUCACCUACCCGCGGACAGAGCAGGAGCUCGUGGCGGCCGUGGCGGCCGUGGCGUCCACGAAACAGAAGGUGAGGGUGGCCACCAAGCACUCCCACAGCAUUCCCAAGCUGGCGUGCCCUGGUGGCGACGACGGCACCAUCAUAAGCACGGCGCAGCUCAACCGGACGGUGUGCGUCGACGCAGCGAAGCGGCUCAUGACGGUGGAGAGCGGCAUGCUCCUCCGGGACCUGGUCGAGGCCGCUGCCGCCGCGGGGCUGUCCCUGCCGCACUCGCCGUAUUGGCACGGCCUCACCAUCGGGGGCCUCUUGAGCACGGGAGCACACGGGAGCUCGCUGUGGGGGAAGGGAGGCGCCGCGCACGAGUACGUGGUCGGGCUGAGGAUCGUAACUCCGGCCCCGGCGAGCCAGGGGUUCGCCGUGGUGAGGGAGCUCGGGGCUGACCACCCGGACCUGGACGCGGCGAAGGUCUCCCUUGGCGUCCUCGGCGUCAUCUCACAUGUGACUCUGGCCAUGCAGCCGUUGUUCAAGCGGUCGGUGACGCUGGUGAAGCGCGACGACUCGGAUUUCCAAGAGCAGGUGGCCCUGUGGGGUCAUCUUCAUGAGUACGGCGACAUGACGUGGCUGCCGCACCAGGGCAAGGUGAUCUACCGCCAGGACGACCGCGUCGACGUCUCCACCCCGGGCAAUGGCCUCUACGACUUGCCCCUUAUCCGCACCCGCGAGCUCAUCGAUGCAAGAGCGGCCGAAGAGCGGCUGCAGGAGAAUGGCACCGACACCGCCCGGUGCGAGGCGGCGCAGCAGCAGGCGGCCGCGUCGGAGCGGCUGAAUGUAUUCACCAACGAUGGCGUCUCCUUCACGGGAUACCCGGUGGUGGGGUACCAGCACCGCAUCCAGGCGUUCGGCACGUGCUUCAAUAGCCCUGAGGAUGGCCUCCUCACUUCCUGCGCCUGGGACCCGCGCAUCCGAGGCUUCUUCAACUACAACUCCGGCUUCAGCGUCCCGCUUUCCAAGGCACCGGCAUUCGUAGCCGACAUGCAACGUCUCCGGAACCUCAAUCCGGACUCGUUUUGUUCUUCUGUCGACCCCAGCAUAGGCGUGCUCCUACGAUACGUGAAGGCGUCAUCCGCUUAUCUCGGCAAGCCGGAGGACUCAAUUGGAGUCGACAUCAUCUUUUACCGGAGCCACACCGAAGGCAUGCCGCGUGCGCAUGCCGAUGUAGUGGACGAGCUCGAGCAGCUGGCGUUGCAUAAGUACGGCGGCAUCCCGCACUGGGGUAAGAGCCGCAAUUUCGCCUUCGAUGGUGCCAUCACGAAGUACCCAAAAGUCCAUGAGUUUCUUAGGGUGAAAGAUAGGUACGACCCAGAGGGGCUCUUCUCCAACGAGUGGACUGACAAGGUUCUCGGUAUCAAUGGAAGUCCCAACAUCAUCAAAAAGCGUUGUGCCAUUGAAGGACUUUGCGUCUGCUCCAACAACUCGCACUGUGCUCCGGAGGAAGGCUACUUCUGCAGGCCAGGGAAGGUGUACAAGGAGGCUCGUGUCUGCUCGUUCUUCAAGGAUUAUUAA